AUUGAACGCUGGCGGCAUGCCUUACACAUGCAAGUCGAACGGCAGCGCGGGAGCAAUCCUGGCGGCGAGUGGCGAACGGGUGAGUAAUACAUCGGAACGUGCCCAAUCGUGGGGGAUAACGCAGCGAAAGCUGUGCUAAUACCGCAUACGAUCUACGGAUGAAAGCAGGGGAUCGCAAGACCUUGCGCGAAUGGAGCGGCCGAUGGCAGAUUAGGUAGUUGGUGAGGUAAAGGCUCACCAAGCCUUCGAUCUGUAGCUGGUCUGAGAGGACGACCAGCCACACUGGGACUGAGACACGGCCCAGACUCCUACGGGAGGCAGCAGUGGGGAAUUUUGGACAAUGGGCGCAAGCCUGAUCCAGCCAUGCCGCGUGCAGGAUGAAGGCCUUCGGGUUGUAAACUGCUUUUGUACGGAACGAAACGGCCUUUUCUAAUAAAGAGGGCUAAUGACGGUACCGUAAGAAUAAGCACCGG
rnacentral:rRNA from 1 species